rnacentral:lncRNA from 1 species
AUUGAGGCAGCCAGCGCAGGGGCUUCUGCUGAGGGGGCAGGCGGAGCUUGAGGAAACCGCAGAUAAGUUUUUUUCUCUUUGAAAGAUAGAGAUUAAUACAACUACUUAAAAAAUAUAGUCAAUAGGUUACUAAGAUAUUGCUUAGCGUUAAGUUUUUAACGUAAUUUUAAUAGCUUAAGAUUUUAAGAGAAAAUAUGAAGACUUAGAAGAGUAGCAUGAGGAAGGAAAAGAUAAAAGGUUUCUAAAACAUGACGGAGGUUGAGAUGAAGCUUCUUCAUGGAGUAAAAAAUGUAUUUAAAAGAAAAUUGAGAGAAAGGACUACAGAGCCCCGAAUUAAUACCAAUAGAAGGGCAAUGCUUUUAGAUUAAAAUGAAGGUGACUUAAACAGCUUAAAGUUUAGUUUAAAAGUUGUAGGUGAUUAAAAUAAUUUGAAGGCGAUCUUUUAAAAAGAGAUUAAACCGAAGGUGAUUAAAAGACCUUGAAAUCCAUGACGCAGGGAGAAUUGCGUCAUUUAAAGCCUAGUUAACGCAUUUACUAAACGCAGACGAAAAUGGAAAGAUUAAUUGGGAGUGGUAGGAUGAAACAAUUUGGAGAAGAUAGAAGUUUGAAGUGGAAAACUGGAAGACAGAAGUACGGGAAGGCGAAGAAAAGAAUAGAGAAGAUAGGGAAAUUAGAAGAUAAAAACAUACUUUUAGAAGAAAAAAGAUAAAUUUAAACCUGAAAAGUAGGAAGCAGAAGAAAAAAGACAAGCUAGGAAACAAAAAGCUAAGGGCAAAAUGUACAAACUUAGAAGAAAAUUGGAAGAUAGAAACAAGAUAGAAAAUGAAAAUAUUGUCAAGAGUUUCAGAUAGAAAAUGAAAAACAAGCUAAGACAAGUAUUGGAGAAGUAUAGAAGAUAGAAAAAUAUAAAGCCAAAAAUUGGAUAAAAUAGCACUGAAAAAAUGAGGAAAUUAUUGGUAACCAAUUUAUUUUAAAAGCCCAUCAAUUUAAUUUCUGGUGGUGCAGAAGUUAGAAGGUAAAGCUUGAGAAGAUGAGGGUGUUUACGUAGACCAGAACCAAUUUAGAAGAAUACUUGAAGCUAGAAGGGGAAGUUGGUUAAAAAUCACAUCAAAAAGCUACUAAAAGGACUGGUGUAAUUUAAAAAAAACUAAGGCAGAAGGCUUUUGGAAGAGUUAGAAGAAUUUGGAAGGCCUUAAAUAUAGUAGCUUAGUUUGAAAAAUGUGAAGGACUUUCGUAACGGAAGUAAUUCAAGAUCAAGAGUAAUUACCAACUUAAUGUUUUUGCAUUGGACUUUGAGUUAAGAUUAUUUUUUAAAUCCUGAGGACUAGCAUUAAUUGACAGCUGACCCAGGUGCUACACAGAAGUGGAUUCAGUGAAUCUAGGAAGACAGCAGCAGACAGGAUUCCAGGAACCAGUGUUUGAUGAAGCUAGGACUGAGGAGCAAGCGAGCAAGCAGCAGUUCGUGGUGAAGAUAGGAAAAGAGUCCAGGAGCCAGUGCGAUUUGGUGAAGGAAGCUAGGAAGAAGGAAGGAGCGCUAACGAUUUGGUGGUGAAGCUAGGAAAAAGGAUUCCAGGAAGGAGCGAGUGCAAUUUGGUGAUGAAGGUAGCAGGCGGCUUGGCUUGGCAACCACACGGAGGAGGCGAGCAGGCGUUGUGCGUAGAGGAUCCUAGACCAGCAUGCCAGUGUGCCAAGGCCACAGGGAAAGCGAGUGGUUGGUAAAAAUCCGUGAGGUCGGCAAUAUGUUGUUUUUCUGGAACUUACUUAUGGUGAUUUAAUAAUAAUUUAAAACUACUAUAGAAACUGCAGAGCAAAGGAAGUGGCUUAAUGAUCCUGAAGGGAUUUCUUCUGAUGGUAGCUUUUGUAUUAUCAAACUUUUUUCAGAUAACAUCUUCUGAGUCAUAACCAGCCUGGCAGUAUGAUGGCCUAGAUGCAGAGAAAACAGCUCCUUGGUGAAUUGAUAAGUAUCUCUUCGUUAUCAGAAGAGUUGCUUCAUUUCAUCUGGGAGCAGAAAACAGCAGGCAGCUGUUAACAGAUAAGUUUAACUUGCAUCUGCAGUAUUGCAUGUUAGGGAUAAGUGCUUAUUUUUAAGAGCUGUGGAGUUCUUAAAUAUCAACCAUGGCACUUUCUCCUGACCCCUUCCCUAGGGGAUUUCAGGAUUGAGAAAUUUUUCCAUCGAGCCUUUUUAAAAUUGUAGGACUUGUUCCUGUGGGCUUCAGUGAUGGGAUAGUACACUUCACUCAGAGGCAUUUGCAUCUUUAAAUAAUUUCUUAAAAGCCUCUAAAGUGAUCAGUGCCUUGAUGCCAACUAAGGAAAUUUGUUUAGCAUUGAAUCUCUGAAGGCUCUAUGAAAGGAAUAGCAUGAUGUGCUGUUAGAAUCAGAUGUUACUGCUAAAAUUUACAUGUUGUGAUGUAAAUUGUGUAGAAAACCAUUAAAUCAUUCAAAAUAAUAAACUAUU